rnacentral:rRNA from 1 species
AACGUAGGACGCGAGCGGUAUCCGGAGUUACUGGGCGUAAAGGGCGGGCAGGCGGCUGCUCAAGUCGGACGUGAAAGCUCCUGGCUCAACCGGGAGAGGCCGUUCGAAACUGGGGAGCUGGAGGGCAGUAGAGGGGCGUAGAAUUCCGGGAGGAGUGGUGAAAUGCGUAGAGAUCCGGAGGAAUACCAGAGGCGAAGGCGGCGCCCUGGGCUGCACCUGACGCUGAGCCGCGAAAGCAUGGGGAGCGAACGGG